rnacentral:tRNA from 1 species
GUGGCUAUAGUGUAAAGGUUAGCACAACAGACUGUGGCUCUGUUCGCACGGGUUCGA